UACAGAGGUCUCAAGCGUUGUUCGGAUUUAUUGGGCGUAAAGAGCGCGUAGGCGGCCCGGAAAGUGGGGUGUGAAAACCCGAGGCUCAACCUCGGGCGUGCACUCCAAACUCCCGGGCUUGAGGCAGGUAGGGGAGAUCGGAAUUCCUGGUGUAGCGGUGAAAUGCGCAGAUAUCAGGAGGAACACCGGUGGCGAAGGCGGAUCUCUGGGCCUGUUCUGACGCUGAGGCGCGAAAGCUAGGGGAGCAAACAGG
rnacentral:rRNA from 1 species